CCUACGGGUGGCAGCAGUGAGGAAUAUUGGGCAAUGGGCGCGAGCCGGAACCAGCCAAGUAGCGUGAAGGAUGACUGCCCUACGGGUUGUAAAAUUCUUUUAUAAAGGAAUAAAGUGAGGCACGUGUGCCUUUUUGUAUGUACUUGAUUAAUAAGGAUCGGCUAACUACGUGCCAGCAGCCGCGGUAAAACGGAGGAGCCGAGCGUUAUCCGGAUUUAUUGUGUUUAAAGGGGGCGUAGAUGGGUUGUUAAGUCAGUUGUGAAAGUUUGCGGCUCAACCGUAAAAUUGCAAUUGAUACUGGCAGCCUUGAGUACAGUAGAGGUAGGCGGAAUUCGUAGUGUAGCGGUGAAAUGCUUAGAUAUCACGAAGAACUCCGAUUGCGAAGGCAGCUUACUAAACUGCCACUGACAUUGAUGCUCGAAAGUGUGGGUAUCAAACAGGAUUAGAUACCCCAGUAGUC
rnacentral:rRNA from 1 species